rnacentral:lncRNA from 1 species
GAAGAAAGAAGCUUUCACUCCAGGCACGAGGAACAGUGUGAGGCCCUGAGCAAGAAAGGGUAACAAACCAGCCAACAAAUGGGAGGUUUUUCCUGAGUGCAGGAUGAGAAAGAACUGCCAGGAAAGCUGCAGAACAAAGGUCUGAAAACAUAAGAGAAGCCAGGAAAAUGCAAGUUCUUCCUCCUGACCCUAGAAAAUCUCUGCUGCCAAAGCAGGGGACUCUGCUGCCAACUUCAGGCCUGGGAAAACCAGGACUCCAGGAGCUCUACCUCCAGGAUUCUUCCAAACAUCUCACCAUGUCCUCUGAUAACUCUGUAGUCAUCUGCCACAACCUAUUCUUAAUAAAUCCUA